rnacentral:rRNA from 1 species
CCUACGGGUGGCAGCAGUGGGGAAUAUUGGGCAAUGGGCGCAAGCCUGACCCAGCAACGCCGCGUGAAGGAAGAAGGCUUUCGGGUUGUAAACUUCUUUUCUCAGGGACGAAGCAAGUGACGGUACCUGAGGAAUAAGCCACGGCUAACUACGUGCCAGCAGCCGCGGUAAUACGUAGGUGGCAAGCGUUAUCCGGAUUUACUGGGUGUAAAGGGCGUGUAGGCGGGACUGCAAGUCAGAUGUGAAAACCACGGGCUCAACCUGUGGCCUGCAUUUGAAACUGUUUUUCUUGAGUGCUGGAGAGGCAAUCGGAAUUCCGUGUGUAGCGGUGAAAUGCGUAGAUAUACGGAGGAACACCAGUGGCGAAGGCGGAUUGCUGGACAGUAACUGACGCUGAGGCGCGAAAGCGUGGGGAGCAAACAGGAUUAGAUACCCCUGUAGUC